rnacentral:rRNA from 1 species
UACGGAGGGGCGAGCGUUAUUCGGAAUUAUUGGGCGUAAAGGGCGCGUAGGCGGCUUUCAAGUCGGGCGUGAAAUCUCCGGGCUUAACCCGGAAGGGUCGUUCGAUACUGUUGAGCUAGAGUGUGGAAGAGGCAACUAGAAUUCCGUGUGUAGCGGUGAAAUGCGUAGAUAUACGGAGGAAUACCUGAGGCGAAGGCGGGUUGCUGGGCCAACACUGACGCUGAGGCGCGAAAGCUAGGGGAGCGAACGGG